UGUUAUAUUAAAAGACAAUGUCAAUGUUAAAUAACAUAGUGGGAUACUGGGCUUAUAUUCAGGGGGCUUAUAUUCAGGGGGCUUAUAUUCAGGGAACUUAUAUUCAGGGGAGCUUAUAUUGGGGGGAGGGGGCUUAUAUUCGGAAUGAGGUGAGUAUUAUAUUCAGAGGUUUACAGUAUACAGUUCAAAAAAGCUUGUAUUUUCUUGUCACAGACACAGAUUUCUGGGUGCAUAUAGAACAGCUUAUACGUCAGGUUCUCAUGUGGAUCCAAUGGUAAUUUGAUAUCGCUGCAUCACCAUAAUAUAGUGUAGCACAGAAUGGCCUUGUAUCAUACUUUAACACCCGGC